UUUUUUUUUUUUUUUUUUUUUUUGAUACUAUAAAAAUGGAGUCGUAUGUGGUCUCCUCCUAAAACCCGUUCUCCAUUUCCGAUCGCCGCGUAGAAGAGGGAGCGAGGAUUCGGCGAUCCGACGCCGCCGAUGAUUCGUGAUGGACGACGCGUUCGCGUUUUCCUCGGCGAGAUUCGAAUCGAGAUUGGCGCACUGUGUGAUGAAUCUCUACAACCCAAAAGAAGAGCUUAAGAAGGAUCUCCAUCCUCCUAGGCUUCUUCGCCGUGCACUGCGUCAUCUCCAAUCAGCAGCUGAUCAUCCGGUAUUCUUAGCGGGACCACAAGCUUAAUGACCAGACAAAUGAUAGAGGUCACAACGACGUUCCAUCCGAUGAUGAAUAAGGCGCCGGC